UGGGGAAUAUUGGACAAUGGGCGAAAGCCUGAUCCAGCCAUGCCGCGUGUGUGAAGAAGGUCUUCGGAUUGUAAAGCACUUUAAGUUGGGAGGAAGGGCAUUAACCUAAUACGUUAGUGUUUUGACGUUACCGACAGAAUAAGCACCGGCUAACUCUGUGCCAGCAGCCGCGGUAAUACAGAGGGUGCAAGCGUUAAUCGGAAUUACUGGGCGUAAAGCGCGCGUAGGUGGUUUGUUAAGUUGGAUGUGAAAUCCCCGGGCUCAACCUGGUAACUGCAUUCAAAACUGAAUGACUAGAGUAUGGUAGAGGGUGGUGGAAUUUCCUGUGUAGCGGUGAAAUGCGUAGAUAUAGGAAGGAACACCAGUGGCGAAGGCGACCACCUGGACUAAUACUGACACUGAGGUGCGAAAGCGUGGGGAGCAAACA
rnacentral:rRNA from 1 species